rnacentral:rRNA from 1 species
GAUGAACGCUGGCGGCGUGCUUAACACAUGCAAGUCGAACGGUAAGGCCCUGCUUGUUGGGUGUGCUCGAGUGGCGAGCGGGAGUGUAACACGUGUGUAACCUGCUCUAGACUGGGGUAUGACUUCAGGAAACGGGGUCUAAUACGAGAGAAGAGCUCCUCCUGCGGGGGGGGGGUGGGAAAGUUUCCGCGGUUGGGGAUGGACGCGCGGCUUAUCAGCUUGUUGGUGGGGUAGUGGCUUACCAAGGCUUCGACGGGUAGCCGGCCUGAGAGGGUGACCGGCCACAUUGGGACUGAGAUACGGCCCAGACUCCUACGGGAGGCAGCAGUGGGGAAUAUUGCACAAUGGGCGCAAGCCUGAUGCAGCGACGCCGCGUGCGGGAUGACGGCCUUCGGGUUGUAAACCGCUUUCGGUUGUGACGAAGCGAAAGUGACGGUACCGGGAGAAGAAGCACCGGCUAACUACGUG